CAAAUACUCCCUCCGUCCGGAAAUACUUGUCCUAGGAAUGGUUGUAUCCAAACUUAUUUUAGUUAUAGAUACAUCCAUUUUAUCCAUUUUUAGGACAAGUAUUUCCGGACGGAGGGAGUAGUAG
rfam:Triticum aestivum genome assembly, contig: Triticum_aestivum_CS42_TGACv1_scaffold_225168_3B